ACCAAAAAUGAAUAAAGAUAUGAAUUGAAAAAGAUUCCAAUAUUAUUUAAAAAAAAAAUAUGUAAAUAUUUAUUAAUUGAUGAAAAUAUAUAUAUGCAUUAUUUAAUGAUGAACUAUCCAUAGAUUUCUUUAACAUUAAUUCGGUGCACGUGCUCAUUAUAAUCCGAAAGAUCUCCAUUUGUCAAAAUUUGUGAUCUUGGUGUAAAUUUGAGGUAACAGUUAAGUGUCAAGGUUAAAUUAAAUGCCAACAAAGAGUCGUUCUGUGCUGAAUAUUUUGGUCGGGUUUGACCUAAACUUAAUCAACUUGUCCGGACCUGACUUACAGAACCUGCCUGUGUUCCCUACACAUGAUCGAGUUCGAGUUUGAUUUGUAAAACAUAAAACCUAAACAUAAACAUAAAAACCUAAUAAACUAACAGCCCCCACGGGACAUGACCCCUCUCCCAGCCAGAACCACCCACCUCCCUCCACAGUCUCACCCAUGGCCUCGACGAUGCCGCUGGAAAGCUGAAGAUCCGCGCCCCCACCUUGACGAAGACGACCUAGCCUUCGAACAGAGCUGAGCUCUCCUCUCUCAUUUUCUCUCCCAGUUACCGCCGGACGAAGUUCUCCUCCUCGCUGCAGCCUCUCGUCGGUCCACCGCCAUACGUUCACCACCAGCGGCAGCAGCAGUUGGAUGACACAAGUUUUGCUUUCCUUAACCUAGGUGGAUGGUUUUAUUCCUAGCAGGCCAAGAGGAUUCAUAUGAAGGUCCAAGUUGUACAUCCAUAGCACGAUGUCCGGACAGAGUCAUCAAGGGACAUCCGACCAUCUCGAUCGUGUGAUCAACUCGCAUGCACCGGCCAAGAAAUGUGAGUUGGCCAUUUCAGUAGCGAUCGAUGAUAUCUCCAAGCUUGCAUGAGACGAAGUAAUCCCUAUUUUCAUGGGAUUGAUUUGUACCUUUAGAGAAUAAGGGCAAUCAGCCUAGACUGACCCAAUUCCUCUAUUGUAAUUAUGAAAACGUACAUAUUAAUUUUUUCUUUUAUUUCUUAUAGAUUAAGGAAAACCAUUCCUAUGUAAUGAGCUCCUAUAAAAUGGUGGUCUCACCUCACUAUUGGAGGACACGAAUUGAAUCAGAGAGAAAUAGUAAUCUAAGAAAGAAUUACUCAGAGAUCCAUUGUAAGAGCUUUAGAGACAGAAUGCUUUGUUCUUGGUCUCAUAAGUCAAUAAAGCCUAAAGAAGAGUAGGCUAUUACCACUAU